rnacentral:rRNA from 2 species
GGAAACCUGCCCAGAAGCGGGGGAUAACACCUGGAAACAGAUGCUAAUACCGCAUAACAACUUGGACCGCAUGGUCCGAGUUUGAAAGAUGGCUUCGGCUAUCACUUUUGGAUGGUCCCGCGGCGUAUUAGCUAGAUGGUGGGGUAACGGCUCACCAUGGCAAUGAUACGUAGCCGACCUGAGAGGGUAAUCGGCCACAUUGGGACUGAGACACGGCCCAAACUCCUACGGGAGGCAGCAGUAGGGAAUCUUCCACAAUGGACGAAAGUCUGAUGGAGCAACGCCGCGUGAGUGAAGAAGGGUUUCGGCUCGUAAAACUCUGUUGUUAAAGAAGAACAUAUCUGAGAGUAACUGUUCAGGUAUUGACGGUAUUUAACCAGAAAGCCACGGCUAACUACGUGCCAGCAGCCGCGGUAAUACGUAGGUGGCAAGCGUUGUCCGGAUUUAUUGGGCGUAAAGCGAGCGCAGGCGGUUUUUUAAGUCUGAUGUGAAAGCCUUCGGCUCAACCGAAGAAGUGCAUCGGAAACUGGGAAACUUGAGUGCAGAAGAGGACAGUGGAACUCCAUGUGUAGCGGUGAAAUGCGUAGAUAUAUGGAAGAACACCAGUGGCGAACGCGGCUGUCUGGUCUGUAACUGACGCUGAGGCUCG